rnacentral:rRNA from 1 species
UGCAGUCGAACGGUGAAGCCAAGCUUGCUUGGUGGAUCAGUGGCGAACGGGUGAGUAACACGUGAGCAACCUGCCCUGGACUCUGGGAUAAGCGCUGGAAACGGCGUCUAAUACUGGAUAUGAGCCUCUUCCGCAUGGUGGGGGUUGGAAAGAUUUUUUGGUCUGGGAUGGGCUCGCGGCCUAUCAGCUUGUUGGUGAGGUAAUGGCUCACCAAGGCGUCGACGGGUAGCCGGCCUGAGAGGGUGACCGGCCACACUGGGACUGAGACACGGCCCAGACUCCUACGGGAGGCAGCAGUGGGGAAUAUUGCACAAUGGGCGGAAGCCUGAUGCAGCAACGCCGCGUGAGGGAUGACGGCCUUCGGGUUGUAAACCUCUUUUAGCAGGGAAGAAGCGAAAGUGACGGUACCUGCAGAAAAAGCGCCGGCUAACUACGUGCCAGCAGCCGCGGUAAUACGUAGGGCGCAAGCGUUAUCCGGAAUUAUUGGGCGUAAAGAGCUCGUAGGCGGUUUGUCGCGUCUGCUGUGAAAUCCCGAGGCUCAACCUCGGGCCUGCAGUGGGUACGGGCAGACUAGAGUGCGGUAGGGGAGAUUGGAAUUCCUGGUGUAGCGGUGGAAUGCGCAGAUAUCAGGAGGAACACCGAUGGCGAAGGCAGAUCUCUGGGCCGUAACUGACGCUGAGGAGCGAAAGGGUGGGGAGCAAACAGGCUUAGAUACCCUGGUAGUCCACCCCGUAAACGUUGGGAACUAGUUGUGGGGACCAUUCCACGGUUUCCGUGACGCAGCUAACGC